rnacentral:lncRNA from 1 species
UUUGUUUUCUUGUUUGCAUUUUCCAGUCUUAAAUAGUUAUUUAGUGUUAAUUUUGUUGCCAGUGUUCUUUCUCUCUCUGGUCUAGGAAGUGUCCAAAUGGGACCUUUCAUCUGAAGAAAUUGCCAAUAUUUGUGAUCUGCGGGUUUAUCUUAAUCAGAAGUUAUCAAUGCUGGAAUGAAAACAGGGCAAAUCAAGGAAGGAGAAAUAAUCCUACGAUGAAGACCACACCAAGGCUUUGUUGGAUUUACAACUAAUCAAGGAAUACAAAGGAACUUACAGCUCUUAAGCAAAAGUUUAUUCACAGUAUUCCCGUAAAUGGAAUGGACAAUUGACGCUGUCAGCAGCAUAGGCUACCAAUACACACCAAAGAAUGGUCCACUAUAAUAAUACUUUUUCCAGUGAUUUCAUGUAUUCUUUCAUUUAUUUCCAAAAAUCACAUUGCAAUUGGUAGGCACAAUAAAAAUGAACAUAAGAAUAUGAAGAAAAA